UACUUGGUGAUAAGAGAUGAAUGAUGAUAAAUGUUGUUCAGAACAACCACUAGGGAUUAUUGUCACAUGAUGUGUUUGUCAAAUGGAAGGCUUCUUAUAUUACAGCAAAGAGAUGGAGAGAGGAAUCAGUCUGGAAACUGAGGAUGUAUGAUGUUUAUGCGCUGCCUGGUAUAAAUGUUAUCUCAAAAUUGUAAAGACUUAAAAAAAGAAGAAAAAAUCAACAAAAAAGACAGCACUACCAAAGUAGAAGUUAUGUCAAGCAUAUAAAUCCAACCCAUAUUUUGCUUUAGCCACAUUUGACCCAUUUAGAAAAAUUAAAGAGGAAAUAAAGAAUAGAAUAAAGUAAUUUAUUACUCUACAGAGAAGUUCCUAGCUCUGAAUCUAUAUCUAAUUCUGUUUUUACAAAGUUUCCAACAUAAAUUGCCUCUUUCAGCAUGUUGGAAGGUGAAAGCACAUGCUAAUACCAAUAAAUUGGAUUUGUUUUGGGGAAAUUUAUGUGUGCAUACAUUUAAAAAAUUUGCAUGCAGUCCCAGAUGGAGGAGCCAACAGAGCAUGAACCUCAGUUGCUAAGAUAACAAUGCAUGCAUUACGCUGGAAGAUGAAAUUUGUAUGUAAAACAAUUCAACCACUGAUUGUGAAAGUGACACAUUCUGGGAUAAUAUGCCUUUAAAUUCAGCAUUAAAUAUGUAUAUGGGACUCCUACUCUUUUCUGGCACAAGUUUCCACCUGUCUGAUAUAUUCUCACAUAUACCUUCUUAACACAUUCAGGGCAUUCAGUGUAUAUUUUAUUUACUGAUUGUUCAUCAAAUUUGAAAGAAUAAAAACCAUCCAAGAUAUUUAUAGAAUAUAAUUGUAAGUGCCUCAUGGGCUGUGCCACAUGAAUGAUAAUGGUAAAAGCCAACAUAAAAAUUGUUAAGAAUCAAUAAGUAAAGUUCUAGCUAUGUGCUAUGUUCUAACUGUGCAAUUUUAGCAAUUUAAUUGUUCAUUUAUUUCAGGGCUGUUACAUCAAUCUCCUAAUUUAUACAACAUACAUGAUAAUACUAUUCCUUUCACACACAAGUAUCAGUAAUAAUAUACCUAAAGGGCUAAUUUUAGCAUCUAGAAAAUGGUAACUUCUCCAUAAUAAUUAUUUUUAACACUUUUCUAAAAACUGACAUUUUAAAAUCACAAGUCUCUGAAACUUGGCUUACAUUUUCAAAAUGUGGUAUUAGAUAUUCCUUCAGUUGUAAAUGCCUCUGGCAUUUAAAACAGAAUACAUGAUAUGGAUAGUUUAAGAUAAAGCUGAUUGUUCAUAUGGCUGCAUAGUACUAAUGGCAUAAAUAGUGAAUAUGAACUUUGUAUACGAGGAACACAGCUAAAAACCAAUUUAAAUGAGAGACUAAUACUUUGCAGAAAUAUUCCUCAAGAAAAAAAUCCUGGAGAGAAGGUAUGGGCCUAGUUUUAACACGAUAGGGUCAGAAAAUGAUUUUUUGUUUGUUCGUUUUCUUCCCUGAAUACAGCACAACAAUUUCAUUUAACUUUGUCCUUGACCAAAACCCAACCAAUCAAUCUCAUUUAUGCCUUCCAUAGAAUGAAGGAAAGAGGUCAAAAUGGAGAUAGCAAUGUUAACACAUUUCCUUAAGACUCUUAAACACAAAUAGCACUGCUUCUGUACCUUUACAGAACCGAUUAUAAAAAGGGAAAGAGACAUAGUUCUAUCCUUUUGCCAUUGACUCUGUACAACCCUGACAUUUGAAAGGCAUCCACAUACUAGUGGUAUGUCUACUCCCCAGAGAGAGGUAAAUGGGAAUAGGAAAGGCAGUGGCAAUGCCUAGAAGGAGUGCUAAGAGUGUCAGACACAUAGCAAGCCCUCAAUAAAUAUUUGCUUAGUGGUUUAUGGUCUCGUAUUCAGUUAAAUUUUGUUCAAAGAUAUAUGUUUAGUCCUAAGCCCUGGUACAUAUGAAUGUGAUCUUAUUUGGAAAUAGAGUCUUUGCUAAUGCCAUAAAUUUAAAGUAAGUUUAUACUGUGUUAGUAUGUGCCCUAAUCCAAUUAUUGAUAUCUUUAUAUGAAGGAAUUUUGGACAGAAACAUACACAAAAGAAGAAUGCCACAAGACUACCUAAGUAGAUAUUGGACUAAUGCAUCUGUAAACCAAGGGUGCCAAAGAUUGCUAGCAGCUGUCAAAAGGUAGGAAAGCAAGUGGAAAGAUUCUUCUUAAGGCCUUCAGAGAGAGCACCAGCCUGAUAAUACCUUCAUUUCAGACUUCUGGCCUACAUAACUAUAAGAUAAUACAUUUUUUUAAGGCACUUGGUUUAUGUCAGCCAUAGGAAACAAACACAGUCCCCAAAGAAAAAAAAAUAUCUUGCCAACACCUCGCAAAAUCAAUGGUGCUUAGUGGGCAGUUAAAACACUUACUAGAAAGAUACAUUUUGCCUGGUAAAAUGAUAAUAGCAGAGCAGAGCUUUGCAGAAUCUAUAAAACUCUCCAUUGUUGGUAUGUGAGAGCCAAUUAAAAUGCACUUGCAAAGAUGACCUUCCAGGGGCUGUCAAUAGAACUUGAAUAAAAGGGUCAAGUGGGAAAGCACUGUUGAGAGCAGGUGUUUACAACCAGGUAAAGCAAAACCAUUUUUCGAUGGCCUCAUUUUUAACUCUUGUGACCCCUGAGGAAAUGUAGGCCAUAAUAUAGAACAGUUUCUACUUGAUUUUAUGAAGAAUUUCAUUAGUUUGUUUCUUUCUUCAUGUAGAUCUCUUCUACUUGUGAAGUUUUAGGCUCACUUAUUACCUAGAAAUAUGCAUUUCACUAGAGUGAUUAUGCCAACUGUUCAUUUAAAAGGCAGUGCCUUUAAAAGGCAGAUCACUGAGCACUGUGAAAAGUAAUUCAGAAAUGCUGUCUCUGAAGAAAUGUUUUGAUAACAAAAGGUGUCAAGGCAAGCUAGAAUGAAAGCAUUUCUUAGCUUUAAAUUGAAAAUAUUUAAAAGAACCAUAAACAGUAAUAAUGACCUUCAAAACUGAUGAUAAACAUAUAUUAGCAGUUACAGUUAAAUGAAUUUUGACUAAAUAAGAUCCAUGAAGCAGUAAUCACAAGGCCUGAGUGAGUCCAUUUAGGUAUGACCGACAGCCAUAGGAGUAUGAUAAAUAGUAAUGAUAAAUUGUGUAUAUAUAUAUAUACAUAUAUAUACACAAUUGUCUUUCUAUGAUUUAGCAAUUUCUAAUAAAUAUUUAGUCAGACAAGACCAAAAUCAUUACAAAGAUGUGAAGACAGCCUUGGUAGGGUUCUGGGAAAGGAUACAAUUGAAGGGGAUGACAAUCACUGUACCCACUGGAUUGGUUUUAGUGAUUCCUAGAUAGACACAGGUAUAUUAGGGAAAAAGCUUGUGGGUACAACAAUAACCAUAAAGUCUACUUAAAUUAACAUUAUUAUUUUAGUUCUUCCAUGAACCAGGGCCAGAUCUGUCUUUUACAUAUACUCACUUACCAAAUUUAUGUCACUAUAAAAACCACUGACACACAGAGGUUAGUAAUAUGGAGCUGCAAGUUUGAGCUUUUUACUGUAGUUCUAAAGAUCUGCCUCUAAUCAGCAUCUGUUUCAUGGUAGAAAGAGAUCAGGUGUCAAAGCAAGCAUUUAUUUGAUGUUCUGGAGUCCUUCAAAUGAUGAAAAUUAGAGGUCUUCAAUGAUUUACGGAACAUACGACAAGAGAAGACUAAGUCUAUAACAUGUAGAGAGAAAAUUAGAAAAUGAAAUGAAUAUUCAUUUUCAGAAUGAUUUGGAAGAGGGUGGUCUUUACUUAUCUAACUUCGGAACAGUGUUUCUGUUCCUGGAGAAGAGUGAGGAAAUGCAGGAGGAUCUUGAUAUUUGGGAUACUAUAAUGGAAUACUAUAGAGUGUGUAGCUUAAACAAUGAAAACUUGCCUCUAACACCUCUGGAAGCUGGACAGUCUUAAAUCAAGGUGCCACUUGAUUCAAUUGCUGGUGAGAGCAUUCUUCCUUGUCUCAUCUAUAGAUGAUAAAGAUUUAAUUUAAGUAAUUGGCUAACGCAAUUAUGAAGCCUGGCAGGUCCUAAAUCUGUCUGAAGGUGCAGGGUAGUGUUGAUAUUAUAACUGGAAUCCAAAGGCAGUCUUCAGACAUAUCUCUCUUUUCCUUGGGACAACUCAGUACCUUUUCUCUAAAGGCCUUCAACUGAUUAGAGGAGGCCAGCACACUUUACGGAGAGGAAUCUGCUUUACUAAAAAUUGAUUGAUUUAAAUGUUAAUCUCACCUAAAAAUAUCUUAAUACAAAUACCCAAACUAUUUUUUGACCAAGUAUUUGGGAACUAUGGCUAAGCUAAGUUAACACAUAAAAUUAAACAUCACAUCCACUUAUUCUAGAACUCCAUGUGGGUAGAGAUUAUAAUUGCACAGUUCAUUGGUCUAUCUCUGUCUGUACCUAGUAUACUACCAGAGAUAAAAAAGCCCCAGUGUUUUCUGAAAGAUUAACUGCUUUUGAAAAUUAAAGCUACAUGGUCCACAACUCAGAAUAUCACAUAAUACAAAGCAGCAGUUUUGGCAGGUAAAAACACAAGUGAAAGCUUAGUCAAAGGGCAGGGGAUCUUACAGAGGUGAUACCUUGAGUCAUCAAUGAGAAAAUGUCCCAUGUAUUCCUGAUCAGUAUAAGGGCUAAGUCACUUAUAUAUUUGGAUAUUUAAAAAAUUAUAAUAAAUAAAACUAGGUUAACAAUUUACAUAUGUGAAAAAAUCAGAGGCUUAUGUAAGCUCGAGUCAUAUUAUUUCUCAUGCUGGUGAAUAUUCUGAAGACUUUGAGAGAUGGAUUGUCAAGGCCAUGGAAACAAGUAGACAUUUGAGCUGAGUUUUAAAUACUUCACAUAUCCUCUCUGUCAUUGCUAUAUACACAAAAAAAUACAUUUGGAAAGCAAGUCAGAAUUUCAUGCCAGCCUUUAUCUAGAUCAAUUUAUGAUAAGAAUUGCUAACACAUAUGAAGUUUCUGUUUUUGUCCUGAUUUCAAGCUCUGUUUUGUCCUGGGAUCCAUGAACUUUCUAUAAAUCAUGGUAGUGAAUCAUCUCUAUUCAUUUUGAGAAAAUAGUAUUCUGAUGCACUCUCUAUUGUAACACAUGCUUGAGGUUAGGUGAGAAUAGGUUUUGAGCCUUUAAUUCUUAUCCCUUCUGCUUCUGCAUCAUUUGGGAAAGUUUUUCAAAAUGUACUUCUUAAUACUAAGAUUUUGCUUUGUUUGGUUUCUUUUGCUACAAGAUGCUAAAGACUGCAUGAGUUGGAUGGCCAAGAAAGUUUAGACAGGGUUAAGGAAAACCUGUUUCUAAUAUUAGAUCAUGUCUUAUUUCCUCUUUCUUUUGGACUAUCAUCAAUCUUGUGUUGCUGUUUUCAGCAUAAACACAACUUUAUUGUUUUUCUAAAUAUAAAUAUAUUCAUCAAAUAAAAAUACUCUGGAAAAUAUAAUGAAAGUAAAAUUCACUUCAAAUCUCACUUUAAUAGAUAACCAUAAGCUAAUAAUUUGAUAAGCAUAAUGAAGACAGGCAGAUACCUCCCCCUUCUCUUGUGUGCAUCUGUGUGUAUAUGUGAGUGUGUGUGUGUGAAAUGUGUCUGCAUAUGAGUGUACAUGUGUAAUAUACACAUUACAUUGCAUAUUUUCUUUGUGUCUCUCCAUUGCUAUUUUGCCCUGAAAAUCUACUCUCAAUAGGCUUCCUUAGCUCUAGCUUCUAAUUGGUUUGGUUAAUCAGAAAUUCCAAAAAGAAAUCAGAAGAAGGGAUAAGAGUGAGGGGGGAAGAUAUUUCUCUAGUUCCUGAACUUUUAGCUUACUUGAAGUUUAUUCCUCCAUGAGUUCCUUCUAAAGACAGGAACUUUUUAAGUAUCUUUAUUUUAUAUUGUAUUUCUUAUUAAAGUAUAGUUUAUUUACAAAGUAGUGUUGAUUUUGGCUAUACUGCAUGGUGAUGCAGUAAUACAUACAUGUACAUUUUUUUUCUCAUACUACUUUCCAUCCUGUUCUAUCCCAAUAGAUUGGAUAUAGUUCCCUGUGCUGUAGAGUACCAUCUCAUUGCUCAUCCAUUCUAAAUGUAAUAGUUUGCCUCUACCACCCCAAACUCCCCAUUCAUUGCACUCUCUCCCCCUCCUCAUUGGCAACCACAAGUCUGUUCUUUAUGUCUGUGAGUCUGCUUCUUUUCUGUAGAUAAGUCCGUUUGUACCAUAUUUUAGAUUCCAGAUAUGUGAUAUCAUAUGGUAUUUACCUUUCUCUUUCUGUCUUACUUCACUUAGUAUGAGACUUUCUAAAUUGCAUUAGUGUUGAUACAAAUGGCAAAGUUUUGUUCUUUUUUUAUGUUUGAGUAGUAUCCCAUUGUGUGAGUGUGUGUGUGUGUGUGUGUGUGUGUGUGUGUGUGUGUGUGUGUGUGUAAAACUGGGUCACUAUGCUGUAUAGCAGAAAUUAGCAGAAAUUGUAAAACAACUAUAAUAAAAAUAGAAAAUAGAAUGAGGGGAACAAGAUGGCAGAGGAAUAAGAGGUCAUGUUCACCUUCUCCCACAAACACAUCAAUAAAGCACAUCCGCAUGUAAAACAACUUGCACAGAACAUCGACUGAAUGCUGUCAGAAGAAGUUAAAAAUCCAAAAAGGGGAGUUCCUAUCAUGGUUAAGUGGUUAACAAAUCCAACUAGGAACCAUGAGGUUGCAUGUUUGAUCCCUGGCCUUGCUCAGUGGGUUGGGGAUCUGGCAUUGCCAUGAGCUGUGGUGUAGGUCACAGAUGUGGCUUGGAUCCUGCAUUGCUAUGGCUGUGGUGUAGGAUGGCAGCUAUAGCUCCAAUUUGACCCCUAGCCUGGGAACUUCCAUGUGCCACA
rnacentral:lncRNA from 1 species